UACGUAGGGUGCAAGCGUUGUCCGGAAUUAUUGGGCGUAAAGAGCUCGUAGGCGGUCUGUCGCGUCGAUCGUGAAAACUUGGGGCUUAACCCUGAGCUUGCGGUCGAUACGGGCAUGACUGGAGUUCGGCAGGGGAGACUGGAAUUCCUGGUGUAGCGGUGAAAUGCGCAGAUAUCAGGAAGAACACCAAUGGCGAAAAGCAGCUCUCUGGGGACGGUACUGACGCUGAGACGCGAAAAAGCGUGGGGGAGCGAAACAGGGAUUAGAAAACCCUU
rnacentral:rRNA from 1 species